UACGUAGGGUGCGAGCGUUGUCCGGAAUUAUUGGGCGUAAAGAGCUCGUAGGCGGUGUGUCACGUCGGCCGUGAAAACCUGCAGCUUAACUGUGGGCGUGCGGUCGAUACGGGCAUCACUGGAGUUCGGCAGGGGAGACUGGAAUUCCUGGUGUAGCGGUGAAAUGCGCAGAUAUCAGGAGGAACACCGGUGGCGAAGGCGGGACUCUGGGCCGAUACUGACGCUGAGGAGCGAAAGCGUGGGGAGCAAACAGG
rnacentral:rRNA from 1 species